rnacentral:snoRNA from 1 species
CCUACGAUGAUACACAAUUUGCAUAGUUCACACUGAAACUACUGUGUUGACAAACAAGCAUCUUAACGUCUUUCGCUCCUAUCUGA